UGCAUAGUGGUGUAGUGGUUUGAGCAUUGGACUACAACUCUGGAGACCAGGGUUUGAGUCCCAGCUUGGCCA